rnacentral:rRNA from 1 species
AUUGAACGCUGGCGGCAUGCCUUACACAUGCAAGUCGAACGGCAGCGCGGGGCAACCUGGCGGCGAGUGGCGAACGGGUGAGUAACAUAUCGGAACAUACCCUAGAGUGGGGGAUAACGUAGCGAAAGUUACGCUAAUACCGCAUACGCACUAAGGUGGAAAGUGGGGGAUCUUCGGACCUCAUGCUCAUGGAGUGGCCGAUAUCUGAUUAGCUAGUUGGUGAGGUAAAGGCUCACCAAGGCGACGAUCAGUAGCUGGUUUGAGAGAACGACCAGCCACACUGGAACUGAGACACGGUCCAGACUCCUACGGGAGGCAGCAGUGGGGGAAUUUUUGGACAAUGGGGGGCAACCCCUGAUCCAGCAAUGCCGCGUGAGUGAAGAAGGCCU